UCCUAUGGCCAUAUCACCCUGAAUGUGCCCCAUCCCAUCUGAUCUCAGAAGCUAAGCAGGGUCAGGCCUGGUUAGUACUUGGAUGGGAGACCACCUAGGAAGACUAGGUGCUGUAGGCA
rnacentral:rRNA from 1 species